AACGAACGCUGGCGGCAUGCCUAACACAUGCAAGUCGAACGAGACCUUCGGGUCUAGUGGCGCACGGGUGCGUAACGCGUGGGAAUCUGCCCUUCGGUUGGGAAUAACUGAGAGAAAUUUCAGCUAAUACCUUAUAAUGUCUUCGGACCAAAGAUUUAUCGCCGAGGGAUGAGCCCGCGUAGGAUUAGGUAGUUGGUGGGGUAAUGGCCUACCAAGCCGACGAUCCUUAGCUGGUCUGAGAGGAUGAUCAGCCACACUGGGACUGAGACACGGCCCAGACUCCUACGGGAGGCAGAAGUGGGGAAUAUUGGACAAUGGGCGAAAGCCUGAUCCAGCAAUGCCGCGUGAGUGAUGAAGGCCUUAGGGUUGUAAAGCUCUUUUACCCGGGAUGAUAAUGACAGUACCGGGAGAAUAAGCGCCGGCUAACUCCGUG
rnacentral:rRNA from 1 species